CGGGGUGCACCAGGCGCGAAAACUUUACAAUGCUGGCAACAGCGAUAAGGGGACCUCGAGUGCCAGCACACAAUCCUGGCCGUCCAGAUGCCCAAAUAGCAGUGCAUAGCAAGGGCCGGGCAAGACCGGUGCCAGCCGCCGCGGUAACACCGGCGGCUCGAGUGGUAACCGCUAUUAUUGGGUUUAAAGGGUCCGUAGCCGGCCGGCUAAGUCUCUCGGGAAAUCUGACACCUCAAUUGUCGGUCUUCCACGGGAUACUGAUAGGCCCGUGACCGGGAGAGGUGCGAGGUACUUCCGGGGUAGGGGUGAAAUCUAGUAAUCCAUGGGGGACCACCACAGGGGAAGGCAUCUACACCAGAACGGUUCCGACGGCGAGGGAUAGAAAUCCAGGGGCAUGAACCAGAUGAGAUACCCGGGUAGUCCCACCCGUAAACGAUCCUCUCUAGGUUUCCGCAGCGGUGCGACCGGGGUAGGAGCCGUAGUGAAAACAUGAAGCGAGGCACAUGCGAAGUACGGUCGCAAGGAUGAAAAAGAAAGGAAUCGGCGGGCGAGCACAAGGGCGAUUCGC
rnacentral:rRNA from 1 species